rnacentral:rRNA from 1 species
UACGUAGGGUGCAAGCGUUGUCCGGAAUUAUUGGGCGUAAAGAGCUCGUAGGCGGUCUGUCGCGUCUGCUGUGAAAACUCAGGGCUUAACCCUGAGCUUGCAGUGGGUACGGGCAGACUAGAGUGUGGUAGGGGAGACUGGAAUUCCUGGUGUAGCGGUGAAAUGCGCAGAUAUCAGGAAGAACACCUAUGGCGAAGGCAGCUCUCUGGGACGGUACUGACGCUGAGACGCGAAAGCGUGGGGAGCGAACAGG